AAAAAUAAAAGGAUAUGAUAAUUAAGGAGAUUCGAACACCUGACAUAUUGUAGGAAAGAUGAUUAAAUAGAAUUCCAGAGACCAGAGAAACCAUCGACAGUAACCUUGAUUGCGAGCCAAAUGGGUGGCGCCACCUUACGUCUCUUCACAUUCUUAUCAUCAUCACCUUUACCUCUCCUCCACCAUCGCCACCAUUCUUCCCUCCGCCACCUCCGCCGCCUCGCCUCUCACCGCUCUUUCCUCUUUCUCUCUCCUCCUCCUCCUCCGCCCUCCUUUCUCUCUCCUCCAAAAUCUUCCCAAAAACUUCACACCCACCAAGCUCAUCCUCUUUGGGAUGAAACCCCAUCUUUGAAUUCGACUGGGUUUUCUAAUUCUACUAGUAGUUUUCGUCAUCCUUGGGCUGAGUUUUCGGGUUUUCUUGAUUUGGUUUCGCAAUCAGAAUACUGUAAUGCACCCUUUGAUGUUCAUCAGUUUGUGGGGUUUCAACCAUUUGAUGAGGGUUUCUUGAGGGUUGCUAAUUCUUGUUUGGCUUUUGCUAGAGAUAAUCCUACUAUUUUGUGGUCGCUUUCGAGGGAGGAUGUAGAGGUGGUUGCUGAGAAUGGUUCACCGUUUUUGUUUGCUAAUGCUUCGGCGGCGGUGGCAAGGAUGAAAUCUUUCUGUGACAACGGCAAUGAUAAUGUAUUAGAAUCUGAUAAACCAAGCACAGUCGAUCUCAUGAAGUUUUUAUUAAGUUAUGCCUACAGUGCUAUUGGCUUUUCAGAAAACAUUGAGAUAAACAGUAGAGUUGAAUCAUCUACCAGAAAAUUGUUCAGUGAAUUGGUUAACUUUAAUGAAAGUUCUGCGGAGCCUAUUGUGACAGUACAGAAAGAGUUUUCUGAAAGAUGUAAUCAAGCAUCAAGUUCUUCUGGAAAUAAUAUCAAAAUGAAGAAAGGAGACUGGAUAUGUCCAAGGUGCAGUUUUAUGAACUUUGCUAAGAACUCGCUGUGCCUUCAGUGUGAGGAGCACCGGCCAAAGAAACUUUUAACUGGUGGGGAAUGGGAAUGCCCUCAAUGUGACUUCUUUAACUUUGGUAGAAAUGUGGUAUGCUUAAGGUGUGAUUGCAAAAAACCAGGAGUCAAUCGAUUCCUCAGCCCCACUUCGCGUUUGGGAGCUGACACUGCCUCUGCUAUAGGCAAUAUUGAGGAAAUUAUAACUGGGACUGAAGAGAUGCAAUCAUGGUUCACUAAGAUAGCUCAGUUGGAAAAAUCAUCUGACAUGGGCAGUGUUCUAGAAGAUGAAGAUUUGCCUGAGACCAUGAAGGUAGAUGAUAAUAAGUUUACAUGGUCUGCUGCAAGCACAAAACACUCGGGCACUGUUGACAAUCCCAGUCAUAGUUAUUUCCAGACAGCUAGUGACCAGGAUAGUAUUGAUAUGAAAAUCAGCCAAAGUCUUAAUGAACUUUCUGGCGACAAGUCUCCAAAUCAGAUGGGAAAUAAAGAUUAUGAGAAUGAACAAGCUGAUGAAUCUGAAAGAUGGUUUAAGAAGGUGGCUGAACUACAUGAUGUAACAGACCUGCCUAGUGCUAUAUCUGAUGAUGAUUUCCCAGAAAUAAUGCCAAUGCGCAAAGGAGAGAAUCGAUUUGUUGUUAGUAAGAAAAAAGACCGUUCUUUAACUUCUCCGAUGUACAAGAGACGUGUGGCAAUGGAGCAAGCGGGCAAUAAUAAUUAUGUCCCAUUUGUCCCUUUUCCACCUGAUUACUUUGCCAGGAAAAAACCAAAAGGGUCAGAGUCAAUUCAUAAAAAUGAACAGACUGGUGCAAUGAGAUCAGAUGCCGCAAAAACAGGAGAGGAAACGGAAGAUAAAUUUAGCAAACCAGCUUCUGAGGUAUCCAAUUAUGUAGACCAAAACUCCAAAACUAUUGAUUUGCCAAUCAGUACUCCCAGUAAUUGUUCUGAAUCUCAGAGCACAAGUGAGAAUGCAAAUGUCAAGGACUCUUGGAGAGAAAAGAGUUUGGAGGGAUCAGCAGUAAAGGAACCAAAUCCACUGGAUAUGUCUGAGGAAGCUAAGGCAGAGAGGUGGUUUCGGCGUGUUGCUCAGAUAAAGGACAUCUCAGAGCUGAGCCAGGUUCCUGAUGAGGAUUUUCCCUCUAUAAUGCCAAUGAGGAAAGGAGUGAAUCGAUUUGUGGUGAGCAAGAGGAAAACACCUUUGGAGAGACGGUUGACAUCUUCACAGUACCGAAGGAACCUACCAGUUGUGAACUCUGAACCUGAAAAGAAGGAAACAGACUAAUUGAGAAUGAAAACAAGGACUUGCUGAGUUUUGUGUUUAUGCACGAGUUUGAUGAUACCUCUGAAUGUGACUGUUGGGUUCAUCAAAGCAAGCUUUGGGUUUGUCCGUCCAGAUGCACAAUUAUUAUAUCAAUCAGGGGAGUGAUCUUGAUUUGCAUUUACUCGUCGUUUGUUUUAUCCAGGCUUGUGUGCAUCAGAAGUUUAUCAGAGAUACUUGUUUGUGUAGCUUUUAAAAACUGGGCUACUCCGUAUGUUAUAGCCUUAUAGGCUUGUUUGUGGGAUACCGACAUGCAUUGAAAUUAAUAGACAUUGACAUGUAUGGAUUAAAUGGAAGUUUUUGACAUGUUGGAACACGAUGGAUUCGAUUUUCUUACAGCAUGGAUUGGUGCAUUGAAGCCAUAAGACAUUAGUACUAUA